rnacentral:snRNA from 1 species
UUGCUUUAGCAGCACAUAUACAAUAGUUGGGGUUAUAGAGAGAUUAGCAUGACCCCUGCCCAAGGAAGACAUGCAGAUUCAUGAAUUGUUCCUUAUUUUU